rnacentral:rRNA from 1 species
UACGUAGGGUGCAAGCGUUGUCCGGAAUUAUUGGGCGUAAAGAGCUCGUAGGCGGUUUGUCGCGUCUGCUGUGAAAACUCAGGGCUUAACUCUGAGCUUGCAGUGGGUACGGGCAGACUAGAGUGCGGUAGGGGAGACUGGAAUUCCUGGUGUAGCGGUGAAAUGCGCAGAUAUCAGGAGGAACACCGGUGGCGAAGGCGGGUCUCUGGGCCGUAA